rnacentral:misc_RNA from 1 species
GAUGAAGAACGUAGCGAAAUGCGAUACGUAAUGUGAAUUGCAGAUCUCUCAGUGAACCAUCGAGUCUUUGAACGCACAUUGCGCCCCCUGGUAUUCCGGGGGGCAUGCCUGUCCGAGCGUCAUUGCUGCCCUCAAGCACGGCUUGUGUGUUGGGCCUCCGUCCUCCUCCCGGGGGACGGGCCCGAAAGGCAGCGGCGGCACCGCGUCCGGUCCUCGAGCGUAUGGGGCUUCGUCACCCGCUCUUGUAGGCCCGGCCGGCGCUUGCCGACACAUCAAUCUUUUUUCCAGGUUGACCUCGGAUCAGGUAGGGAUACCCGCUGAACUUAAGCAUAUCAAUAAGCGGAGGA